GGAGUUGAGAAGAAGAAGACGGCAACGUCAUGACGCAAUGAAGGGGCGACGAGUGCUCGGAUUGUUUCUUCAAAUCGUGGCCAGACGGAACCCAGGACACCUCGGUCAUGCUGUGAACCCGAGCAGCCGUUUCCUCCUGCCCCGCGCCUCUCUCCUAUCUAAAUUAUUUUGACGGAUGACACGCGGAGGACAGCGGAAGAUGUAAAAGGAGAAGCCAACUAU